UACGUAGGAGGCAAGCGUUGUCCGGAAUUACUGGGCGUAAAGCGUGCGUAGACGGUUACAUAAGUCGGGUGUGAAAGCCCCGGGCUCAACCUGGGAAUUGCAUUCGAGACUGCGUAGCUAGGGUGCGGAAGAGGGAAGCGGAAUUUCCGGUGUAGCGGUGAAAUGCGUAGAUAUCGGAAGGAACACCAGUGGCGAAAGCGGCUUCCUGGUCCAGCACCGACGUCAGGCACGAAAGCGUGGGGAGCAAACAGG
rnacentral:rRNA from 1 species